UACGUAGGGGCCAAGCGUUGUCCGGAGUUACUGGGCGUAAAGGGCGCGCAGGCGGUUGGUUACGUCGUGUGUGAAAGCCCCCGGCUCAACCGGGGAGGGUCGCGCGAAACGGGCCGACUGGAGGCAAGGCGAGGGCGGUGGAAUUCCCGGUGUAGUGGUGAAAUGCGUAGAGAUCGGGAGGAACACCAGAGGCGAAGGCGGCCGCCUGGACUUGACCUGACGCUGAGGCGCGAAGGCGUGGGGAGCGAACGGG
rnacentral:rRNA from 1 species